GGCCUUUCUAUUAUGUGUAUGAAGACGCUUACUCUGUUGUUGGAUACUCAGCGAUCCAAUUCUUCAACCCUUUGCAACACUGCCUUGAGAAAACAAUACAGAGGGAGAACAAAUAAACCCGUGCUCUUAAAAGAGUUGAAGACAUAUAUAUAACGGGCAAUUUAUUUAUUUAUGGUACUAUAUGAUAGUUUUAUUGAAGACUCCUAGUAGAAUUAUAAUAAUUGAAUAUGGUAUGUUGGUUUGC
rnacentral:lncRNA from 1 species